rnacentral:tRNA from 1 species
UAGGAUGUAGUAUAAUGGAAGUAUAAGGAGUUUUGAUCUCUUAGGUGUAGGUUCGAGUCCUAUUUUUCUAA